CCUACGGGCGGCAGCAGUAGGGAAUCUUGCACAAUGGGCGAAAGCCUGAUGGAGCAACGCCGCGUGGGGGAAGAAGGUCUUCGGAUCGUAAAACUCUGUUGUUAGAGAAGAAAGUGCGGGAGAGUAACUGUUCACGUUUCGACGGUAUCUAACCAGAAAGCCACGGCUAACUACGUGCCAGCAGCCGCGGUAAUACGUAGGUGGCAAGCUUUAUCCGGAUUUAUUGGGCGUAAAGGGAACGCAGGCGGUCUUUUAAGUCUGAUGUGAAGGCCUUCGGCUUAACCGGAGUAGUGCAUUGGAAACUGGGAGACGUGAGGGCAGAAGAGGAGAGUGGAACUCCAUGUGUAGCGGUGAAAUGCGUAGAUAUAUGGAGGAACACCAGUGGCGAAGGCGGCUCUCUGGUCUGUAACUGACGCUGAGGUUCGAAAGCGUGGGUAGCAAACAGGAUUAGAUACCCGGGUAGUC
rnacentral:rRNA from 1 species